AGAAGCAAAGGAAGGCAGGGAUGCGGAGCCAACCCAAGGAUUCUGGGAGGAACUGCACAGGAGGCUUGUUUUCCUUUGAGGCACUGCACUCACAGACUGAUAUUAACAGCACAACAUUUGGGUGCCCUUGAAUAUCCUUCCUGUUUAGAUUUGUCUGUUUGUUUGAAGAAUCGGGAAUGCAUGUCUGGGAGUGACAAGAGUCUAAAGAAAGCAGUGGAUAUGUGUGAAGAGGGGAAUCGAUUUUCCACAGUGAGAUGCCAGAAACACUGAUAAAUCAGGCAGAAGCCACAGCAGAGGAAGGGAGUUCAAUGGGUCUGACUUUCUGAGUGCUAUUUACCAAGAUCUGAGCAAGCCUCAGUUUGCCUGCUCUCCACCUCCUUCCUUCUCUGACAGAGUGUCCAUGAAAGGCUGCUUUAGAAGAUGCUCCAUGAGGACAGACAAGCCUGCAUCCAGAAAAAGCCAUGAAAGGACCCACCAGAGACUGAGAAUCAAGAGGCCUGCUGACAGCCUAAGAACCUCCCACACUUCCUCAUAUUUUCCUGACACGCCAUCUUAUUUCCAAACAAGAAAGAGCAUAUCAUUCCAAGCAGUCAACGUUGGGUAAGAAACAAAAGUUAAAAAACAUGUUUGUGGCUUAAGAUAAAGGUAUUGCUGGGCCAGUGCCUCUAUCUUCCAAAGAAUGAAUUUAGCCCCUGCACCCCAAAAUUGACUACAAGAUUUCUUCCAAAAUGGUUAAAAUGAGCAUACUCUGUUCCAAUAGGGAAAUGUUUAAAUACUUAAAAAAUAAAGUUAGAGCAAAGAAUAU